UGAAUGCAAAAAAGAAUGUAAGUACAUUUUGUGGAUCACUGUGUUACUAUAUGUGGAUUAUAUUCUGCUUCAAAUUGAAUGAAAUGUAGAUUUUGGGUAAAUAAUUAUUUUCCAGUCAGAAGAUCCCGGACAUGCCGUCCGACGUGGUGGGAGCUCUGAUGUUUCUGGAGGAUUAUGUACGCUACACCAAACUGCCUCGCAAGGUGGCCGAGGCCCACGUGCCAAGCUUCAUCUUUGAUGAGUUCAGGACAGUCCUGUGAAAAUCUAGAUAAAGGCCUCGAGUUCAGGACAGUCCUGUGAAGAUCUAGAUGAAGGCCUCGAGUUCAGGACGGUCCUGUGAAGAUCUAGAUAAAGGCCUCGAGUUCAGGACGGUCCUGUGAAGAUCUAGAUAAAGGCUUCUUGGUUUAACUUUCUGUUAAUUCAUUCAUUUUGACUUUAAUUAAUCUCUUGGUUAUGUAAUGACCUUUUAAUGUGCUAAUGCUUCAGUAACACUGUAAAUAGUUGAAUGGUUUUUAAUAACAUCCUGUGUUACCAGCUUUGGUAUAAUGUCACUGUUGUAAUAUGUCAUUCAUUAAAUACAAAAGAGGCUUUGAAUAAAUAUAAUUUUGUUGCUUUCUA